UAUUUAGUAAACGAAUGAACAAUAUGUGAAACGAUCAUCGAUCGAAUUCAUCAUACUUCUAUAUAUAAGAAGAUAUUGUAUAAUAAUAUAUAAUAAAUUUAAUGUACCUAGGUCAUUGGGCACACAAAAAUGCAGAUGCUGAGUGGACUGAGUGGAGUGGAAAGCGUUAGGAAUGUUCCAUCGCAUAGUAUACCUGUAGACGGCAAUUAAUCGGAAGAAUGUGCGCCGUAGAGAUUAAAUGGAAGCAAAGGUACAAUUUAUUUUAAAAGCACUAAACCUAGUAAUUA